GGAUAGCUCAGUUGGUUACAGUGUGGUGCUGAUAAUGGCGAGGUUGCAAGUUCGAUCCCCUAGCUACCUAAGAGAACCA